rnacentral:rRNA from 1 species
AUACGGAGGAUGCGAGCGUUAUCCGGAUUUAUUGGGUUUAAAGGGCGCGUAGGUGGGAUAUUAAGUCAGCUGUGAAAGUUUGGGGCUCAACCUUAAAAUUGCAGUUGAUACUGGUUUCCUUGAGUACGGUACAGGUGGGCGGAAUUCGUGGUGUAGCGGUGAAAUGCUUAGAUAUCACGAAGAACUCCGAUCGCGAAGGCAGCUCACCGGGCCGGAACUGACACUGAUGCUCGAAAGUGCGGGUAUCAAACAGGAUUAGAUACCCUGGUAGUCCGCACAGUAAACGAUGAAUACUCGCUGUUUGCGAUACACGGUAAGCGGCCAAGCGAAAGCGUUAAGUAUUCCACCUGGGGAGUACGCCGGCAACGGUGAAACUCAAAUGAAUUGGCGGGG